rnacentral:rRNA from 1 species
GACGACAUUAGACGAAUCAUCUGGAAAGAUGAAUCAAAGAAGGUAAUAAUCCUGUAGUCGAAAAUGUUGUCUCUCUUGAGUGGAUCCUGAGUACGACGGAGCACGUGAAAUUCCGUCGGAAUCUGGGAGGACCAUCUCCUAAGGCUAAAUACUCUCUAGUGACCGAUAGUGAACCAGUACCGUGAGGGAAAGGUGAAAAGCACCCCGGAAGGGGAGUGAAAUAGAACCUGAAACCGUGUGCUUACAAGUAGUCAGAGCCCGUUAAUGGGUGAUGGCGUGCCUUUUGUAGAAUGAACCGGCGAGUUACGAUUUGAUGCAAGGUUAAGCAGUAAAUGUGGAGCCGUAGCGAAAGCGAGUCUGAAUAGGGCGUUUAGUAUUUGGUCGUAGACCCGAAACCAGGUGAUCUACCCUUGGUCAGGUUGAAGUUCAGGUAACACUGAAUGGAGGACCGAACCGACUUACGUUGAAAAGUGAGCGGAUGAACUGAGGGUAGCGGAGAAAUUCCAAUCGAACCUGGAGAUAGCUGGUUCUCUCCGAAAUAGCUUUAGGGCUAGCCUCAAGUGAUGAUUAUUGGAGGUAGAGCACUGUUUGGACGAGGGGCCCCUCUCGGGUUACCGAAUUCAGACAAACUCCGAAUGCCAAUUAAUUUAACUUGGGAGUCAGAACAUGGGUGAUAAGGUCCGUGUUCGAAAGGGAAACAGCCCAGACCACCAGCUAAGGUCCCAAAAUAUAUGUUAAGUGGAAAAGGAUGUGGCGUUGCCCAGACAACUAGGAUGUUGGCUUAGAAGCAGCCAUCAUUUAAAGAGUGCGUAAUAGCUCACUAGUCGAGUGACACUGCGCCGAAAAUGUACCGGGGCUAAACAUAUUACCGAAGCUGUGGAUUGUCCUUUGGACAAUGGUAGGAGAGCGUUCUAAGGGCGUUGAAGCAUGAUCGUAAGGACAUGUGGAGCGCUUAGAAGUGAGAAUGCCGGUGUGAGUAGCGAAAGACGGGUGAGAAUCCCGUCCACCGAUUGACUAAGGUUUCCAGAGGAAGGCUCGUCCGCUCUGGGUUAGUCGGGUCCUAAGCUGAGGCCGACAGGCGUAGGCGAUGGAUAACAGGUUGAUAUUCCUGUACCACCUAUAAUCGUUUUAAUCGAUGGGGGGACGCAGUAGGAUAGGCGAAGCGUGCGAUUGGAUUGCACGUCUAAGCAGUAAGGCUGAGUAUUAGGCAAAUCCGGUACUCAUUAAGGCUGAGCUGUGAUGGGGAGAAGACAUUGUGUCUUCGAGUCGUUGAUUUCACACUGCCGAGAAAAGCCUCUAGAUAGAAAAUAGGUGCCCGUACCGCAAACCGACACAGGUAGUCAAGAUGAGAAUUCUAAGGUGAGCGAGCGAACUCUCGUUAAGGAACUCGGCAAAAUGACCCCGUAACUUCGGGAGAAGGGGUGCUCUUUAGGGUUAACGCCCAGAAGAGCCGCAGUGAAUAGGCCCAAGCGACUGUUUAUCAAAAACACAGGUCUCUGCUAAACCGUAAGGUGAUGUAUAGGGGCUGACGCCUGCCCGGUGCUGGAAGGUUAAGAGGAGUGGUUAGCUUCUGCGAAGCUACGAAUCGAAGCCCCAGUAAACGGCGGCCGUAACUAUAACGGUCCUAAGGUAGCGAAAUUCCUUGUCGGGUAAGUUCCGACCCGCACGAAAGGCGUAACGAUUUGGGCACUGUCUCAACGAGAGACUCGGUGAAAUCAUAGUACCUGUGAAGAUGCAGGUUACCCGCGACAGGACGGAAAGACCCCGUGGAGCUUUACUGUAGCCUGAUAUUGAAAUUCGGCACAGCUUGUACAGGAUAGGUAGGAGCCUUUGAAACGUGAGCGCUAGCUUACGUGGAGGCGCUGGUGGGAUACUACCCUAGCUGUGUUGGCUUUCUAACCCGCACCACUUAUCGUGGUGGGAGACAGUGUCAGGCGGGCAGUUUGACUGGGGCGGUCGCCUCCUAAAAGG